rnacentral:rRNA from 1 species
AGAGUUUGAUCAUGGCUCAGGAUGAACGCUGGCGGUAUGCUUAACACAUGCAAGUCGAACGAAAGUUUUUAACUUUAGUGGCGAACGGGUGCGUAAUACGUGAGAAUCUGCCCUUAGGAGGAGGAUAACUGCUGGAAACGGCUGCUAACCCUCCAUAUGUCGAGAGAUGAAAUAACUUAUUGCCUAAGGAUGAGCUCGCGCCUGAUUAGCUUGUUGGGGAGGUAAUGGCUCACCAAGGCCACGAUCAGUAGCUGGUUUGAGAGAACGAUCAGCCACACUGGGACUGAGACACGGCCCAGACUCCUCCGGGAGGCAGCAGUGAGGAAUUUUCCGCAAUGGGCGAAAGCCUGACGGAGCAAUACCGCGUGAGGGAUGAAGGAUUUUGGUCUGUAAACCUCUUUUCUCAAGAAAGAAGUUCUGACGGUACUUGAGGAAUAAGCAUCGGCUAACUCCGUGCCAGCAGCCGCGGUAAUACGGGGGAUGCAAGCGUUAUCCGGAAUCAUUGGGCGUAAAGCGCCUGUAGGUUGUUUAAUAAGUCUGUUGUUAAAGACUAGGGCUCAACCCUAGAAAAGCAAUGGAAACUACUAGACUAGAGUAUGGCAGGGGUAGAGGGAAUUUCUAGUGUAGCGGUGAAAUGCGUAGAUAUUAGAAAGAACACCGGUGGCGAAAGCGCUCUACUGGACCAUUACUGACACUCAGAGGCGAAAGCUAGGGUAGCAAGAGGGAUUAGAUACCCCUGUAGUCUUAGCCGUAAACGAUGGAUACUAGAUGUUGUGCGUAAUGUACAGUAUCGUAGCUAACGCGUUAAGUAUCCCGCCUGGGGAGUACGCUCGCAAGGGUGAAACUCAAAGGAAUUGACGGGGGCCCGCACAAGCGGUGGAGCAUGU